rnacentral:rRNA from 1 species
UUUAAAGUCUGAUCUGCCCAAUGAGUAAUUGAAUGGCCGCAGUAUUUUGACUGUGCGAAGGUAGCAUAAUCAUUAGUUUUUUAAUUGAAAGCUGGAAUGAAUGAUUUGAUGAGAAAAUGACUGUCUCGAUUUUAAUAUUAGAAUUUUAUUUUUAAGUAAGAAAGCUUAAAUUUUUUAAAAAGACGAGAAGACCCUAUAGAGUUUUAUUUUUAUUAAUAUAAUUUUAUAUUUGGAAUUUACUUGAAUUAUAUUAUUAAGAAUUUUGUUGGGGUGAUGUAAAAAUUUAAUUAACUUUUUAUUUAUGUUAACACUUUUGAGUGAAUAGAUGAUCUUUUAUUAAGAAUUAUAAGAAUAAAUUACCUUAGGGAUAACAGCGUUAUUCUUUUUGAUAGUACUUAUUGAUUAAAGAGAUUGCGACCUCGAUGUUGGAUUAAAAUUUAUUAUUGGUGUAGAAGCUAGUAUAUUAGGUCUGUUCGACCUUUAAAAUUUUACA